rnacentral:lncRNA from 1 species
GCUCUCUCACUGGGUUUGCAGAUGAGCUAUUUAAAGGGGUCCUUGGUGAGUAGGUCCGGGAGCAGGAGGAGCUGAGCAGGGGGGGAGCUGAGGGACCCCGAAGCGGACACGUUGUCAAAGUCGGCCUGCCUGGCAGGCCAGCGGCGGCCACAGCCCAUUUGCAGCUCUGGAGAGGGAUGCUGAAGGUUGACGACGAGCGCCCCCCUCUCUGGCUCGUCCAAGCAGGAGGGGCAGAGGCAAAAUGUCCUCAUGGAACUGGAGCACUCGGAGCCUGCUCAGGUGUCCAGAACUGUUGCAAGGUCACCACCUCCUGGCAGCCCUCCCGGAUGGCCCCAGCAAUAGCUGUGUGACCUCGGUGGCCUGCGGCCUUGCAGGGCAGAGGCCAGGGGUUCUCUGCUCUCUAACCAGAAGGAGCCCUGUCUCCAGAGCCAGAUGUGCCGCUCCUCCGUCGGGCAGCCCUGAGUUCGGGCACAACCAGCCAAGACACCUUUGGGGAUUCAGGCUCUCCUCUUACAAGGGGACAGGCAUCUUCCCUCACAUCCCCCGGGCUCCUACGAAAAGCCGAAACCGCAGUUUAGAAAUCCACUUUUGAGCUGGGCCUCUGCAAUGAGGCCUCCCCGGCUGCUGGUAGAAGUUCUCCAGGAUUAUGAAGUGUCUUUUUAAGAAGCCACCUAGAGGAAUGUUGCUGUGCCCCCUGCGAAAUCAUUCUAGAAGGCUGGAUCUUUCAGAAGAGCCAACAUGGUAAACUCCACGAAGGAGAAAAAUGAGCCUGAAGAAUCAGUCAUCUUUCCUCUUCUCCCUGCCAAAAGCAGUUUCUGGCACAUAGUAUGCCUUAAGUGAGGGCUUGCUGACUUGAUUAACUGAACAAAUGAAUAAUGAGGAUGACUUACUGCACCUUAUUUCCCUGUUUGCCUUUUUCUAGUAAACCCAGUGCCAAAUUUAAU